UCAUGUCAGACACAUGGUGAGUCAUGUCAGGUCUGUAGACAUAUGGUGAGUCAUGUCAGACACAUGGUGAGUCAUGUCAGGUCUGUAGACAUAUGGUGAGUCAUGUCAGACACAUGGUGAGUCAUGUCAGGUCUGUAGACAUAUGGUGAGUCAUGUCAGGUCUGCAGACACAUGGUGAGUCAUGUCAGAGGUCACUUUAUAUCUGACGUCAAGAGUUUUACAUGGGUUUUUGCCCAUAAUUAGAACAAAAAAAA